rnacentral:rRNA from 1 species
UACGUAGGGUGCAAGCGUUAAUCGGAAUUACUGGGCGUAAAGCGUGCGCAGGCGGUUUUGUAAGUCUGUUGUGAAAUCCCCGGGCUCAACCUGGGAAUGGCCGUUGAAACUGGCGAACUGGAGUGUGGCAGAGGGGGGUGGAAUUCCGCGUGUAGCAGUGAAAUGCGUAGAGAUGCGGAGGAACACCGAUGGCGAAGGCAGCCCCUGGGCUGACACUGACGCUCAGGCACGAAAGCGUGGGAGCAACAGG